GCACCCAUAGCUCAGUUGGUAGAGCAGAUCCCUCUUAAGGAUAUGGUCGUAGGUUCAAGUCCUACUGGGUGCA
rnacentral:tRNA from 1 species